GCCGAGUACGAGAACCCGGACCCAAAGAACUGUCAGGUUGUGUCCAACAGUUCCCUUGCCUUCCCUGCAUGCUGCCCAAAGGUGGAUUGUCCAGGAAAACAGAAACGGCAGCAGGAGCCCGUCCGAGAUUGUUUUGACAGUGGAUCCCCUUUCGCCUGUAAAGUGUGGAAGGAACUUCACGGAUGUCAGACAACCAAUCGGCUUUAUAACUUCACCAGGGACCACUGUAAACUCACAUGCGAAAUCUGCUUUCCCGUCACGUAGACAUGGUAAAGAGGCAACUUGAUAUGUCACAGAGAGCAAUCUAUAGAGACAAGAAUAGCAUUAUUAUAGAUGAGGAACAUGAGACUCCGACUAGAGGAUCCGUGGUAAGCGAAGUGCGGCCGUCUCGGCCUGGAUGUGACUGUCGCUGUCUCGUCGUCCUGGGUCGUCCUGCAGUGUCGCCACCGGGGAAGCCAUGGGAUAAUGGAACAUAUUUCAUCUGACCAGCAUUUGUUAUCCUGGAUCCAACGGACUGCUUCGUUUGACCACCUUACUUUGUAAAAUCUGUCCAUCCGUGUGUUGGUCUGACGAUAAUAUUAUUGUUUGGUCUUCAGUUCGUUUAUCAUUGGGGAAAUUGCGUACCAUUGUAUUUCAAAAGAGUAUGUCC